GCUCUUUUCAACAGCGCACAUACUAAAAUUGGAAAGAAACAGAGAUCAGCAUGGCCCCUGCACAAGAGUAACACACAAACUCAGGACACAGUGCAUAUUUUU
rnacentral:snRNA from 1 species